AAUGGUCUUCCUCUACAGCAGUAUCCUCAUAUGUAUGUGGGAAAAAAUUAAAAAUAUAUGUAUUUUAAAUUAAAUAUAUUUUAACACAUUCCAAUGAGGAUACUGCUGUAGAAGAAGACCAUU